GCAGACACAUUCCAGCCAAUCAGCAGCAGACCCUCCCUCCCAGACCCUCCCACCUCCUGGACAGCUCACUAAGAAUGCACCUUCACAAUGAAUGUAAAAUGGAUGCUGUCCAGGAGGUGGGAGGGUAUGGGAGGGAGGGUCUGCUGCUGAUUGGCUGGAAUGUGUCUG
rnacentral:miRNA from 1 species